ACGCUGGCGGCGCGCCUAACACAUGCAAGUCGAACGAGCGGAGAACUUCGGUUCAAAGCUAGUGGCGGACGGGUGAGUAACACGUGAGGAACCUGCCUCUCAGAGUGGGAUACCGUUUGGAAACGAACGUUAAUACCGCAUAAUGUAUCUUGAUCGCAUGGUCUUGAUACCAAAGAUUUAUCGCUGAAUGAUGGACUCGCGUCUGAUUAGAUAGUUGGUGAGGUAACGGCCCACCAAGUCGACGAUCAGUAGCCGGACUGAGAGGUUGAACGGCCACAUUGGGACUGAGACACGGCCCAGACUCCUACGGGAGGCAGCAGUGGGGGAUAUUGCACAAUGGAGGAAACUCUGAUGCAGUGACGCCGCGUAUAGGAAGAAGGCCCUCUGGGUUGUAAACUAUUGUCGAAGGGGAAGAAACAAGACAGUACCCUUGGAGGAAGCUCCGGCUAACUACGUG
rnacentral:rRNA from 1 species